rnacentral:rRNA from 1 species
UUACACACCGCCCGUCACACCAUGGGAGUUGGUUCGACCUUAAGCCGGUGCGCGAACUCGCAAGANACGCAGCCGACCACGGUCGGGUUAGCGACUGGGGUG